AUUGAACGCUGGCGGCAGGCCUAACACACGCAAGUCGAGCGAGCGGCGGACGGGUGAGUAAUGUAUGGGGACUGCCCGCUAGAGGGGGAUCACUACUGGAACCGGUAGCUAAUACCGCAUACUAUCGGAUAACCCAUAUGGGAUUAGCUAGUAGGUGAGGUAAUGGCUCACCUAGGCGACGAUCCCUAGCUGGUCUGAGAGGAUGAUCAGCCACACUGGUAAUGAGACACGGCCCAGACUCCAACGGAGGCAGCAGUGGGUAAUAUUGCACAAGAGGCGCAAGCCUGAUGCAGCCAUGCCGCGUGUAUGAAGAAUGCCCUAGGAUUGUAAAGUACUUUCAGUCGGAAGGCGUUACCGACAGAAGAAGCACCGGCUAACUCCGUGCCAGCCGCCGCGGUAAUUC
rnacentral:rRNA from 1 species